CCAGAGGCCGGCGGGAGCUCCAGGUUCACCUCCUCCUCCUCCAGGAAAUCCCACUUCCAGCUAGAUGUCUGCAUGAACUACUGAAAGCUGCUGAGUGUCUUGCAGCAGGUGAGCUGUGGCCAGAGCUCAAGGAUGAAGGGGACUCCCUCACUCUGUGACUGUGAAGAGGAAGCCUGAGGUGUAGCAGGCCCAGGCCCCAGAAGUAUGGAAAAAAUGAGGUUUGACAGAAUUCAUGUUGCUGCCAUAGAGGGGCUCUUUUCAAACUGAUGUCUUAAAUCUUGUUCACGCCAUUUUCAAUCCAGAGGAAGACCUUCUAAAAGAGGUGAUGGAUGGGAGAGUGCUGACAUACUAUGUGAAGCUACUAUUUGGAGUUGGACACGAGUGCAUGUGACCUUGUGCCACAGCGGGAAUCUUGACUACCACACAAAUGAAUCCAUUCAAAUGUUGGCAAGUGGAGCAGAGUCCCAGGACAGAUGGGCAGGUGCUGCAGCAGCCCGGCUGGAAGCGAUGCAGCAUCCAGGACGACGGAGGAAGGGGCAGAGAGGGACCUCUGCUUUCCAGGCUGCCUUUUAUACUGCCUCUGGUCACCUGACGUGGAACGUACCCUAACCUAAUCAGUUACAUGAGGCGCUUGGAAACCACCGUCAAUUGGACCGCACUGGGAAACACAGAUGAACAAAGUCAACACCGCUUUGUCCUGCAGUGCCUGGCUCCUUUUUCAGCUCGUCUUGCGACUCCAGGUAUUGGAGUCCAGGGAGGGCCCAGUAAAGGCGCCAUUCCCCAUUUUACAGCUGGGGAAACUGAGUUACAGAGCUUGUCUGCACUGAGUCAUCAGGAGCAAAUGCUAGAUCAGAUAGGGUCUCUCUCUCUGCCACCCAGGCCAGAGUGCAGUUGACGCAGGGCAGGGGAGCCCCGAAGUGGAGCAUAGUGUGUCCGGAACUGGUGGGUUCUUGGUCUCACUGACUUCAAGAAAGAAGCCGCGGACCCUCGCGAAACUCCUGGAGGGCAGAGGCAUGCCUGCCAUCUUCAUCAUUGCAUUACCACCACCCAACACUAUCGGGGGACCUGCCCUGAUAAUCAG
rnacentral:lncRNA from 1 species